UCGGUCUGACCUUUUUAAAAGCCU
rnacentral:miRNA from 1 species